AUUGGGAAUGGGAUGCGGGAAGUGGGUAUACGGGUACGGGACAGACUUGGCAAAGGUAUGGGAACGAUAUGGGGUGGAGUUGGGAUGGGAUAUGGAUAUGGGAUGGGAUUGGGAUGAUCAUAGGAUGGGAUAAGUAUACGGAAUGGAUAUGGGGUGGACACGGGAUGGAUGCGGGGAUAUGGAUUUGGGAAGGCUGUGGGAUGGAAAUGGAUAUGGGACAUGGGGUACAGGAUGGGGAUAGGAUAUGGGAUGUGCGGGUAUGGAUGUGGGAUGGCUUUAGGAUGGGGUAUGGGAUUGGAUAAGGGAUGGGACAUUGAUACGGGAUGGAUAAGGAGAUGGGAUCGGUCUGGGAUGAGAUAUGGAUUUGAGAUGGAUUUGGGAUGGUUAUGGGAUGGAUAAGGUGAUAUGGAUAUAGAAAGAGAUUUGGCAUGGAGUUGGGCUGGGAUAUGGAUAGGGGAUGAGAUAUGGGAUGGGAUACGGGGAUUUGGACAUGGGAUGGGCUAUGGAUACGGGAUGGAUUUGGGAUAUGGAUACGGGAUUGAUUUGGGAUAUGGGUGUGGGACGGAUAUGGUGGUUUGGAUAUUGGAAGGGUUAUGGAUACAGGAUGGGAUAUGGGAUGGGAUAUGGAUAUGGGAUGGCUACGAGAUGGGGCUGUAGUGGUUAUAGGGCCAUGGGGGCUAUGGGGCUGGGAUGCUGCAGUGUCCCCAAAGCACCCCCUGGUGUGACACACGGAGCCCCACAGCCGCUCCUCUGCCCUUUAUUCACUUGGGGGGGGCAUCCCCCAACGCCCCGUUAUCACAAAAUAAACC
ensembl:lncRNA